rnacentral:misc_RNA from 1 species
CCAAGCUGAGGGGGUGACGAUCUCGGAGGCUGGUGUACACACAAGCCGCUGAGCGGGAGCCGUUGCAAGAUGAGACUCUCGCCGCGUGCCUCCCAAGACAAGCCCCCGAACUUCCCCCCUUGUCCACUUGUACCCUUUGUGCCUCGGGCGGUACGCCCAGCCGGAGGACAACACCAAAAACUCUUGUUGUAAACGGCGUCUUGCCUGAGCUAUAGCGAAAGCAAUGGUUUA